UAUAUAUUAGCAUAGAGAGAGUGUCAUUCAGAGCGAAGUGACGACACCAUCUUUUUUAUUUGGAUUAGUGCUGUUUCACUCUUACGCAUAGUAAAGCUGCUACAGUUUUCCUCCUCUUCCGUGCCUAUAUUCACACUGAAUGUCAUCAUAUAUUUUCGAUACAAUGUGUUAGAAAGAGAUGCAGCAAACCAGUCCAUGAGAUCUUGUCGUCAGGAAGCGCGGAAGGUAGGCUCCCUCUAUGUUAAUAUAUACCUCUAUGGUUCCAUUUGUUUAUUUUUUUAUUCUUUGUUUAUAUAAUUUAUAACCUAGACUCUAGACAGUUUUGUUUUUAAAUAAAACUGAAACUGUGUCUAAGCUAAAAUGGAUAAUAUUCUUGAAGAAUUUUUGUUUGGGGACGAAAUUAGCAAAUGCCGUUAUACAUUUAGCAGAUGUACCUGCCUCACAAUUAUUCCAGAAGGAUGAGAUGAAAUUAAAUAUAUAUAAACCAUAAUUCAAUAUCCAAUUUAGAGAACAUUUUCGUAUGUCCAGAACUACUUUCCAGGAACUAUUUAAUUGUAUUGGUCAUAUCCACCAAUUUGAAAACAGAAUAAUUCUAUUGGAAAAAAUUAAUGUUUAUGAUGUGGAUGCUAAGUAAACCAGAGAAUUUGUUGCUGGGGAUACGUUUGGUUUGCCAAAGAGCUCUGGACAUAAGAUUUUCACCCAAAUAAUAUAGAAUUACAAAAAAUUGGAAAUAACUAAUCUUGAAUAUCAAUGUGUAUAUUGAGUUUAAUUUUAUUGUAAAUAUUCUAUAAUAUAAUUUUAUUGUAAAUAUUGUAUUAACACAUUUGUGGACACAUCUUCAUAUGCAGACAGUAAUUUCCCUUUGUAAGUACAUGCAUAUUAGUCGUAUCUGCGAAUGGGUUAAUUGUAAAUCGUAAUCAAUAAAAAUUUUUUGUGAAUCAAUAAAAAACUGGUUUGUUUGAAAAUAAAUGUAGUACAAAUGUG